AUACCCUAUUAUUUAUUUUUUGUUAUUUUUGAUUAUUAUUAGUUAUUUUCUUUAAAAUUCAAAGAUUUUGGCGGUUAAUUAAUUCUUUUUAGAGGAACCUGUAUUUUAAUCGAUAAUCCACGUUAAUUUUUACCUUUAUUUUUUACUUGUAUAUCUCUAUUGUUAGAAUAUUUUUUUAAGAAUUUUCUUUAAUAUAAAAUAAUUAAUUUUAGGUCAAGGUGCAGUUUUUUUAAGGUUUUUAUGGGUUAUUAAAAUUUUAUAUAAUAAAAUUAUUCUUAUAUGAUAAUUUAUAGGAUUUAAUAGUAAAUUUAAUUAAUUAAUUAAUUUUAAUUUAGCUCUAAUUAAUGUACACAUC
rnacentral:rRNA from 1 species